CCUAACUACAGUUUAUGUGACUACAGUUAAUCCUUAGUGGAUUAAACUGGAUGUUUUCUGCAGUGUUUUUCCUGUUUCACACUUCAGGGAUGUUGAGAAUGUCAGCGCUGUUUCAUCUGGAUUGAAUCAGUAGUUUGUGUCGAAUGGCUCGUGCUGGAUCUCACAGCUGUGUUUAAUCUGUGAUUGCUCUUUCUUCCGGUGCAGAGGAGCGCGUGUGAUUUCGUUCCGCUUUUGGAGUUUGGACACUUCUCAUGCACAAUAGAAAUAAAUGGCAGCACUUGUGUGGCUCCCGUGCGACCGAUAACAAACUUCAGUCUCACCGGCAGAAAAAAAAAAAGAAAAAAAAAAAACAUUUGCAAAAUAUGACCGAAUAGUCUGGAUCCCUGCCACUUCAGAGAACCUGUCAGACUUGUUGAGCGUAGCUUUCUUAGCAAAACAAAAGGCAGGACACAGCUACUUUUAAAGCGUUUUCUAAACUAACUGAUCAUCAGCAAAAACGACUUGUCUUUAUGUUCUUAGUUUUGUUUAUACGGGUAACUUGAGUAAAAGAUAUUUAAAGUUAGGCUACAUUUGGUUUUAGGUUGCAUGAUGAAAUUAACCAAGACGAAAACAAACUCGCUCCUCACACUGAUUCUGCUGUUUCACACCAUGUCUGAGCAAGCAGGAGCUUCUCAUGAUGAUGAUGAUGACGAGGUGAGGAUCCUGAUGGUGGGAAUCCGAGGUCAGUCCAGAUUCAGUGCUGCAGAUCUUCUGUCAGGAAGGAAAGACGGUGGACAGGAGGACAGAGAGAUUGUAAAGACUCCAGUAAUUACAGACGAGGCUCGUAGAAUGAUGCUGAUCACUGGACCGAACCUCUGUGAGGAGGACACAGCGAGACAGACCUUCAUAACAGCGCUGUUUCUCUCGUCUCCUGGACCUCACGCCGUUCUAAUGCUCCUGAAUCUGGAAGAUCAACAAUCACAACAGUGUGAUAUUGUGAAACGAGCUCAGGAGCUGCUGGGAGCAGAAGUCCUGCAGUACUGCAUUGUUCUUCUGCUGCAAAAUCACCAGGAACCUUUCACAGGAGCCUCCAGAGAAAUGAUCGACGCAUGUGGAGGAAGAUUUCUCAUCAUAAGAGACUCUGAACCUAAACCUGCUCAAAGAGCAGCUCUCGUAGCAGAAAUACACAAGUUAGUUUGGCUCAACGAUCACAGAUUUUACUCAGUAGUGACUCAAGGGUUGGAUGCAGAAGAGUCCAGUCAAAGUGUGCAUGAAGAAAAUAAGAUGCUCCCUGAAAAACAUGACAAUUCAGCAGGAACUGCACGAUGGAUUUUACUAAUUUUACUGAACACUGCUUUUAUUUUCACUAAAGUAAGACAUGACCAUUUUCAUUUUGCGGAAAUACUCUUCGUGCUUGUUAUUUUUACCGUCACUUUAAGAGAGACUCUCAAUCCAGAUGUUUCUGUUCCUUUAAAUUUGAUUGUAUCCUCAACUUUCACAGUAGCCUCUGCAUAUAAAGACUUCGCAAAUUCACGACAUGGACACCAAAUCAUAAUGUUUUUAGUCAUGAUCUUUACAUUUCCCAGUAUAGUGUUCAUAGCCGGUCUAGGACUGACUGUAGGAACAGCGGUCAGUGUACGGACGUGGUCAGAUGUGAUCAUAGCGUGCCACGCUGCUCCCGGAGUCACAUUCGGGGCUCAUUUAUACACGGUUUACUCCAUUAUACCUGAUCAAAUGCAAGCUCGUACAACUCUCAUUUUUGCACUCAAGUUAUUCCUGUUCUGUUUCGUUGGAGUGACGAUCUCGAUGGGGUUUGUGACUGUAUUUGCUCUGUUUGGAGUGAAGAUGACAAUAUUUCUGCUAAUAUUAGGAUUUACAAAAAUGUAUUUCCAUUUAAGGAGUCUUUCUCUGAAAUUGUUUAUUUUUUUCCUGCUUUUUCCAUGCUGUUGUGUAUUUAUUGGUUCUUUAAUUUCAUUUUUAUACAGUUUAUUAUUUCAUUAUAUUUUAACAGUAAUUUGAAACCGAUAAUAGUGACUAAAUCACAAGAGACACUUACAGAUUUUGGAUCAUAAGUUAAUGCUGAUAUUGAUAUUGAUGUUUCUUCAACUAUGGGUAUUUUUGGCACUGUGUACUUUCAGGAAAUAAUCUCUCUUACAACCCAUCUUAUUUCUUUACUAACGAGCAUUUAACAUCAAUAAAGACAUCACAGGAAAAUCUUGAACA
ensembl:lncRNA